rnacentral:misc_RNA from 1 species
UUUACUUAUUUUCGCAUUCGCUCUGACGUCUGUAAACGAGAGUUUGAUUGACCUCCGGGGGACUGACGUCCCCCGAAGCAACGUGGUAGGUAAGCAAGGGUUGGGAGUUCGGGGGGUUUCCCCCCCUGAGCCCGGUAAUGAUCCUUCCGCAGGUUCACCUACGGAAA